rnacentral:ncRNA from 2 species
AAAAAUAAAAAAGCGCCAGUCCUUUUGGAACAAUCAAUAUAAACAAUAAAAUUUCAGAAGGAGACGAGGGAAAGAGUUAUCGAAAUAUCGGCGGAUGCUCUUUAGGUGGUUACAACCUUAAUAAUAUACAAAAAUUUCGAGUAAUUGGGAUUACAAAGGUAUUAUAGUAACGUUUU